rnacentral:lncRNA from 1 species
CAGAUAAUUAUUUACACAGAAGGAGAAUAAUUAGCAGCCCAGGAAACGCCGCUUUGUUCUCAGCUCUCUGCCCCUGCCUGCCUCUCUUGUCUGAAGUGGCGCCUCUGCUGGGAAGAGAGACAUCAAAGCCUGCGGAGGAGGCUUUACGCAGAGAGGGAUUUUCUUUGUCUGGCUGAAAAGCAAAGAAAGACAAUCUUGGCUUGUUUGUCUCUCUACCCCCUGACUGCUGCUGUGUCUCAGGCCUGAGGACCUGCCAGUGGCCCUGCAGAGUCUACUGUCAGUAUCUGCCAUUGCUGAAUCCAGACAGAAGCCAGUUGACCCAGGAGCCUCAAACACACCUGUGGGAGACAGCUCCUUUGCAACUUCCUGCAUUGCAGAACAGAGCAGGGAAAAGGUCAGGAGGUCAUGGACCAGCAGAAUCCAGCUUCAAAACACAAGGUUAGGUGGUUUCUCUGAUAUUUCCUUAAAUCAGGGGUUGGUGAACUUUUUCCUAUAAAGAGCCAGGUAGUACAUACUUUAGGCUCUGUGAGCCAUUCAGGGUAUUUGGUCUCUGCUGCAGCUACUCAAAUCUUCUGUUGUAGUUCAAAGCAGCCAUAGACCAUAUGUAAACAAAUUAUAUGUUCUGAUGAAACUAUAUAAAAACAAGGAGUGAGUAGAAUGUGGCCCACAGGCCAUAGUUCCCUGGUCCCUGCCCUAGAGAGCUCACUAAAGGACGCUGGGGAUGUACGAAUGCUUUACUUCUUUCAACAGGAACAGAAUCCUGUACUGCACUGAUCACAAGGCUAAUAAAAUAAUCAUUUAAAAGAAACAUUUUUAUGCUUAAAGUUGUUUCCCCAGAAUUCUGACUAGCAAAGUCUGUCCUCAGCUGUCACAAUAAUCGACCACAUUAUUCUCACAUGUGUCUUUAGGACAUGCCAACACGUUGCAACCUAGUGCCAUACACCUUCUCCAGCCUUUCCCAGGACAGCAUGCAAUUUCUUCUUCCAAGAGCUCCAGGCACAAGGGAAAUGUGAACAACAGGGGGUUGAUUUUGAAUUGUACGUAAUUAACCACAAGUCAAGGGCUGAUCUCUCAUUGCAGAGGCUAAUUCUGUCUGUGGAAUUGUGAGACUAAUUCUAUACAAUGCAUUCUUGGGGUUAGAAGAUGGAGUUUGGGAGGCAGUGGCAACAUGUUCAAGUGGAAAUUGAUCCAAAGUGGUGCAGACAGCUGCUUAGCCCAGGAAGACACCGUCCUCUUUCCCAAACUCAGGGCAUCCUCAAUGGGCACCUGAGCUUCCCUUGCCUAUGAAAGGGGCUUGGUUCUAAAUUUUGACACAUUCCUGACAUAGAAUUUCUCCCUUGAUGAACAACUUCUCUAGAAAACUCUCAUUUCUUAGAAUUCCAAAGUGGAAAUGCUUAUCCUGGCAUUUGCAUAAUUCCUCUUUUCCCACCCUGGAGUUGGGCUGUUCUAUACUUAAUAACUCACACAAUCUCCGUCUCAUUCACUCCACAUUUGGGUCCUCUUCCUUUAGUUCUUUUGACUCCAUUUGCUAAUGCUUCCAAGAUCCAUCAUCCCAGUAGCCAUUGCCUUUGAAGAGGUAAAGUAACAAGCAAGAUGACAUAGACUUGUUUGGCUGGAAGAGUCUUGACAGAAUUUGCUGACCACGUGGCAUUCACCACUUCUGGGAGUCAGAAAAUGUCCUUGUCCAAGUCUACCUCAUAGUGGGAAACAGUCCCAAAGGUUUUGGGAGGGCCUAUAUUAUAUUGUCCUUUUCUCCCAAUUCUAUAACCUUUUCUUUUAUCAUGGUCACUUAUUUUAAAAAGGUGAAGAGGCAAAGAGAAGAGCUAUCUUACUCACAAGUGUUGAUAUGCAACAAAUUAAUACUUUUAACCUGCUCCUUCCACCCUUAAAUCUCAGCUUUGUCCAUGUCUUAGUCCAUUUAGUGUUGCUAUAAAGGAAUUCCUGAGGCUGCGUAAUUAUAAAGAAAAGAGGAUUUUUUGACUCAUGGUUCUGCAGGCUGUACAAGAAACAGUAUCUGCAUCUGGUGAGGGCCUCAAGCUGCUUCCACUCAUGAUGGAAGACAAAGGUGAGUGUAUGUGCAGGGAUCCCACAGUGAGAGAGGAAGAAAGAGAGAGAGGCAGGGGAGAUGCUAGGCUCUUUUUAACAACCAGCGCUUGCAGGAAGUAAUGAGUGAGAACUCAGUC